UGGGGAAUAUUGCACAAUGGGCGCAAGCCUGAUGCAGCCAUGCCGCGUGUAUGAAGAAGGCCUUCGGGUUGUAAAGUACUUUCAGCGGGGAGGAAGGCGAUAAGGUUAAUAACCUUGUCGAUUGACGUUACCCGCAGAAGAAGCACCGGCUAACUCCGUGCCAGCAGCCGCGGUAAUACGGAGGGUGCAAGCGUUAAUCGGAAUUACUGGGCGUAAAGCGCACGCAGGCGGUCUGUCAAGUCGGAUGUGAAAUCCCCGGGCUCAACCUGGGAACUGCAUUCGAAACUGGCAGGCUAGAGUCUUGUAGAGGGGGGUAGAAUUCCAGGUGUAGCGGUGAAAUGCGUAGAGAUCUGGAGGAAUACCGGUGGCGAAGGCGGCCCCCUGGACAAAGACUGACGCUCAGGUGCGAAAACGUGGGGAGCAAACA
rnacentral:rRNA from 1 species